GAGUAGUGGGCGGUGGCCUUUGUUCUUUGGAAAGAAGCUUUGGGGAACCUGUGGCCUCUAGGACUUUAAGAACAUGGGAACCUGAAAGGCAAGGAGAACAAGAAGCCCAGACAAGAGACGGAGCAUGAACUGAAGAUGUAGACUCCUCCUAAGGCGGUGCCUCCUAAGGCGGUGGCUCGCAGCCUUCCUGAUGCUGUGACCCUCUAAUACAGUUCCUCAUGGUGUGGUGACCCCCAACCAUAAAAUUAUUUUAUUGCUACUUUAUGACUUUAAUUUUGCUAUCUUUAUGAAUUGUAAUGUAAAUUUCUACAUCUUCCCAUGGUCUUCUGCAACCCUGUGAAAGGGGUUGAGUCUCUAUUCAAAGGCUGAGAACCCAUGUCCUAAGGGUUGAGACAAGCCUGUGAAGCUGGUAACAGGGGCCCAGGACCACCGCUCUAGGACAGUUCAGCAAUGUGAAUAAGAAGGAAACUUAGCCUCUACAACCCUGAAAACCUCAUGUGGCCCGUAGCUCUCAGUAGGCUGAUGAAACCCUUCCUCUUCCUCUUCCUCAGCCCUGAUGGGACUCCAGUCUCUGGAGACCUGCUGUAAAAAGCCUGAGAGUGUCAAGGCACCUAAGGUGAAUUCAGCUCCCACCACGACCUGCUCAGAGGAGGCCAGGAAGGCUGGGAGUGGCCCUAACAACAGCACCCACUACCCGAAGGCCCAAGUUCUCAGAAAUUAGAAAGCAUUGCGUGCUAAACCACGUUGAUUGCUCCAUAAACCGACUCCCUUAAUGCAUAAACAGCAGUGUGAACUGAGCACUGAUGGCUACCGAUCUUGGACCCACUCGCGUGGACAGUCAAUGUCUUGUUGAGGAGAUGCGAGAAAAGCACUCCCAGACAAUGAGUUCUUGAGUUCAUGAGAUACACGGCAACUUGUCAAGUCCUUGCAAUGCUUCUUUCUGACAGCAGGGGGAGCCAACACCUGGUAAACGCCCGGGCACACUAAACCUUGUCGGUGCAGAAAAAACUGCCAAAGAAACAACCAGGAAAUGAUACCUUGGAAAGAACUGAAACCCAAACAAGCUAGAGAUGGAGGCAGCUCAGGCCCAGGUUUUGUAGGUGUUGCGGCCAAGAUUAUCGAUCCCCCGAGUAAAGCAAAUGUCAGCUGGGGAAGUCCAGGCUGGCCUUUAGGGUGACUGUUGCUCUGUAUCUUACUCUAGCACCACAGACAAACACAAUCUAUUUCCUCUUUCUUUCCGUGUCUGAGCUCACUCAGGUCAGGGCUAGGCCAAGCUCAGAA
rnacentral:lncRNA from 1 species